CCUACGGGAGGCAGCAGUGAGGAAUCUUGGUCAAUGGACGCAAGUCUGAACCAGCCAUGCCGCGUGCAGGAAGACGGCUCUAUGAGUUGUAAACUGCUUUUGUACGAGGGUAAACGCAGAUACGCGUAUCUGUCUGAAAGUAUCUUACGAAUAAUGAUCGGCUAACUCCGUGCCAGCAGCCGCGGUAAUACGGAGGAUUCAAGCGUUAUCCGGAUUUAUUGGGUUUAAAGGGUGCGUAGGUGGGCGGAUAAGUUAGAGGUGAAAUCCCGAGGCUCAACUUCGGAAUUGCCUCUGAUACUGUUAGGCUAGAGAGUAGUUGCGGUAGGCGGAAUGUAUGGUGUAGCGGUGAAAUGCUUAGAGAUCAUACAGAACACCGAUUGCGAAGGCAGCUUACCAAGCUACUUCUGACGUUGAGGCACGAAAGCGUGGGGAGCAAACAGGAUUAGAUACCCGUGUAGUC
rnacentral:rRNA from 1 species